UAGCCAUACGCUUGUCUCGAAGAUAAACCCCUUUUUGUCUCAGUUUGUUUUUAUAUGGUGAAACUGCGAAUGGCUCAUUAAAGCAGUUACAGUUGAUUUGAUGGUCACUCUUCCGUGGAUAACUGGGGUAAUUCCAGAGCUAACACAUGCACCAAAACCCGACUUCGGAAGGGUUGUGUUUAUUAAAUACAAAACCAUCCCAUGCUCCGCAUGGUUUUGCGGCGACUCAUAAUACCUCGAUGAAUCGCAUGGCUUCGCGAACAAGGCAUAAUUCAAGUUUCUAAUCUACCACCUCCCAACGGCAGGGUAUUGCCCUACCGUGGCAAGAACGGGUAACGGAAAAUUAGGGUUUGAUUCCGGAGAGGGACCCUGAAAAACGGCUCCCACAUCUAAGGAAGGCGGCGGGCGCGCAAAUUAAUUACUCAAUCCUGACACAGGGAGGAGGGGACAAAAAAUAACAAUCCAGGGCAAUACUGACUUGUAAUUGGAAUGAGUACAAUUUAAAUCUCUUUAGAAGUAUCAAU
rnacentral:rRNA from 1 species